rnacentral:pre_miRNA from 1 species
AAGUAUCUUAUUUUUAGGAGCCGAUGUCAUUUUUUUGACAUGUCUUCUAUUUUUAGGGACC